CGGCGUGGAUAAGACAUGCAAGUCGAACGAGAGAAUUGCUAGCUUGCUAAUAAUUCUCUAGUGGCGCACGGGUGAGUAACACGUGAGUAACCUGCCCCCGAGAGCGGGAUAGCCCUGGGAAACUGGGAUUAAUACCGCAUAGUAUCGAAAGAUUAAAGCAGCAAUGCGCUUGGGGAUGGGCUCGCGGCCUAUUAGUUAGUUGGUGAGGUAACGGCUCACCAAGGCGAUGACGGGUAGCCGGUCUGAGAGGAUGUCCGGCCACACUGGAACUGAGACACGGUCCAGACACCUACGGGUGGCAGCAGUCGAGAAUCAUUCACAAUGGGGGAAACCCUGAUGGUGCGACGCCGCGUGGGGGAAUGAAGGUCUUCGGAUUGUAAACCCCUGUCAUGUGGGAGCAAAUUAAAAAGAUAGUACCACAAGAGGAAGAGACGGCUAACUCUGUGCCAGCAGCCGCGGUAAUACAGAGGUCUCAAGCGUUGUUCGGAAUCACUGGGCGUAAAGCGUGCGUAGGCCGUUUCGUAAGUCGUGUGUGAAAGGCGCGGGCUCAACCCGCGGACGGCACAUGAUACUGCGAGACUAGAGUAAUGGAGGGGGAACCGGAAUUCUCGGUGUAGCAGUGAAAUGCGUAGAUAUCGAGAGGAACACUCGUGGCGAAGGCGGGUUCCUGGACAUUAACUGACGCUGAGGCACGAAGGCCAGGGGAGCGAAAGGGAUUAGAUACCCCUGUAGUCCUGGCAGUAAACGGUGCACGCUUGGUGUGCGGGGAAUCGACCCCCUGCGUGCCGGAGCUAACGCGUUAAGCGUGCCGCCUGGGGAGUACGGUCGCAAGAUUAAAACUCAAAGAAAUUGACGGGGACCCGCACAAGCGGUGGAGUAUGUGGCUUAAUUCGAUGCAACGCGAAGAACCUUACCUGGGCUUGACAUGUAAUGAACAACAUGUGAAAGCAUGCGACUCUUCGGAGGCGUUACACAGGUGCUGCAUGGCCGUCGUCAGCUCGUGUCGUGAGAUGUUUGGUUAAGUCCAGCAACGAGCGCAACCCCUGUUGCCAGUUACCAGCACGUGAAGGUGGGGACUCUGGCGAGACUGCCCAGAUCAACUGGGAGGAAGGUGGGGACGACGUCAGGUCAGUAUGGCCCUUAUGCCCAGGGCUGCACACGUACUACAAUGCCCAGUACAGAGGGGGCCGAAGCCGCGAGGCGGAGGAAAUCCUAAAAACUGGGCCCAGUUCGGACUGUAGGCUGCAACCCGCCUACACGAAGCCGGAAUCGCUAGUAAUGGCGCAUCAGCUACGGCGCCGUGAAUACGUUCCCGGGUCUUGCACACACCGCCCGUCACA
rnacentral:rRNA from 1 species